CYCAGGAGUCUGGUGGGAKCAGGUGCGCGGACGAGUMAGGGAUACGUUCUMUGCGUCUGGUCUGUCURUCUCUCGCCGUUGCGGGGUUUUGCUUCCUCCGGCCKAGGAUUGGUGCGAGUUGAGUCGCCUUCGGGUUAGAUUCCUCGUCCAUGUGCGCACCUCUGAUAUCUGUCGGUAGACGGGUCGAUAAAACCCAACGGGUGGCAGCGGUCGCCUGCGCGCCGGUCUUUAUUGAUCGAUUGCGYGYGGGUGUUCUGUAGUCAGCCGCCGUCGGUUCAGGGUGUGGACUCCCGCUAAKRGGUSCUGGGGGUCGGCGGUGAGUAKGUCGGUUUCCCACCCGACCCGUCUUGAAACACGGACCAAGAAGUCUAACGUGUGGGCGAGUCUUCGGGGCUACCGAACCCURUAUAGAAGGMGAAAUGAAAGUGAAGGCUGACUUUUAGUUAGCUUUGGUGGGAUCCGGUCGUUUUUAAUACGUCGGCGCACCACCGGCCCGUCYAAU
rnacentral:rRNA from 1 species